rnacentral:rRNA from 1 species
UUCCUACGGGGGGCAGCAGUGGGGGAUAUUGCACAAUGGGGGAAACCCUGAUGCAGCGACGCCGCGUGAGUGAAGAAGUAUUUCGGUAUGUAAAGCUCUAUCAGCGGGGAAGAAGAUGACAGUACCCGAAUAAGAAGCCCCGGCUAACUACGUGCCAGCAGCCGCGGUAAUACGUAGGGGGCAAGCGUUAUCCGGAUUUACUGGGUGUAAAGGGAGCGUAGACGGCUGAGCAGGUCUGAAGUGAAAGCCCGGGGCCCAACCCCGGGACUGCUUUGGAAACUGCACAGCUGGAGGACAGGAGGGGG